rnacentral:rRNA from 1 species
UACACAUCGCCCGUCACUCUCGCCUAGCCAACACCAAGCAAGGGGAGAAAAGUCGUAACACAAUAGGCCUACCGGAAGGUGGGCCUGGAAAAU